GACGAACGCUGGCGGUGUGCUUAACACAUGCAAGUCGAACGGUAAGGCCCUUUCGGGGGUCCACGAGUGGCGAACGGGUGCGUAACACGUGAGUAACCUGCCCUCAUCUCUGGGAUAACAGUCGGAAACGGUUGCUAAUACUGGAUAUGAGCUUGCAAGGCAUCUUGUGGGUUGGAAAGAUUUUUUUUGGUUGGGGAUGGACUCGCGGACUAUCAGCUUGUUGGUGAGGUAGUGGCUCACCAAGGCUUCGACGGGUAGCCGGCCUGAGAGGGCGAACGGCCACAUUGGGACUGAGAUACGGCCCAAACUCCUACGGGAGGCAGCAGGGGGGAAUAUUGCACAAUGGACGGAAGUCUGAUGCAGCAACGCCGCGUGCGGGAUGACGGCCUUCGGGUUGUAAACCGCUUUCAAUUGUGACGAAGCUUUUUUGUGACGGUAGCAGUAGAAGAAGCACCGGCUAACUACGUG
rnacentral:rRNA from 1 species